CGGCGGCGGGACAGCACCUACCUUCCCGGCUUCAGGUCCGGGAGUGCGGGGCGCGGAGCCGCCGGAGCGCUGCCUCCCUCCUUCCUCCUCCCCCCGCCCCCGCCCCGCAGCGCGACACACAAUACUCGCCGGAAGCGGAAGCCGCGCGGAGAAGCUCGUGUCAGUGGAAGCCCGGGUGUCGGCUCGCUGCCGUGGGAAGGCCUAGCGGUGCUUGCGGGAGGAGAAGGAGGGGGGCCAGAGGCCAGUCCAGAGAGAAGGUGGCGAGCUGAGGCGGCCAGUUACGUGGCGGACCUGCGGGUCUCAGCUGGCACGUCACUUCCGACUGUUUGAGUUUUAGCCUUUUAACAUUCCAGGAUUAGGAUGUUGCAGGUGACAGAUGGCAGGAAUGGAGGGUAGCAAGGUCUCUGCACUGCAUAUGCUCAUACGCAGGCUGCACAGUCACUGAACAAGAAUUCCUCUGUUCACUGCAGCCAGGAUGAGAAUCCCUGCUGGUGAUUCCUCUUCCUCCUCCUGUCUGAAGGUGGUGGCUGUGGAGGUCGAGAUCUGGAGAAGAAUCAAUCCCCUCAGAUGGAGAAGGAACGCAGGGUCACUUGUCAUGGGGUUCCAUCAGAAAUCUGCUCUUAGAUUUCUGUACGUCCAAGGCUGCCUUGGAUGGCGCACCUUGAGACAGUUGACUCCAGGUCCCUCGCAUCUUGUCUCCUGGUGAUCCCAAAUACUCACUGCAUGACUUCACCCUAUUCUGUGUGUCACCAGCAAGUCACUAUGUCCAGCUUCUGUUCCCAAAGUGGGUAUUACACAAGGGCAUGAAUACUGGAGGAUGGGAACACUGGAGCCAUCUUGGAGUCUGCCUACAACAGGGGUGACUUUGGGAACCACCUGAAUGCGUGGCCUUUCGCAGGCCUGUGGCUAGAAAUGCAGAGACCAGACUGAAUGAAGAGUUCAAGUCCAAGGGUGUUGGUCACUCCCCAGGAAUCCAGAUCAGAGUCGGGAUGUCACACAUUGUUGCAGGUGGACAGGGAGGCUCCACCAGUCAGGUGAGCACAAGCCAGACUCUGACCCAGGAUGUGGUGACACGGAAGCUGGGACAGUGCUGCCUGCAUUUGGCACAGGUGGCGUGAGUGGCCGUCGUGUCAUCCAGCUGCCAGGAGCGGCAGCGACGGCAGUCCUGGCCUCAGGGUGCGGUGAUGUGAACAGUGGGAUCUGUGCCCAGCACCGGGGGCAGUGAUUCCUAUUUGGGCCUUGACCUAGGGUGGGAUGGUGGAUUCUGUUCCUGGCUGUGCAGCCUCGGGCCUGUUCUGUGGCUUUCCUUGAAAUAAAAUGAGGCCCAGUGUUCU